UGGGGAAUAUUGGACAAUGGGGGCAACCCUGAUCCAGCAAUGCCGCGUGUGUGAAGAAGGUCUUCGGAUUGUAGAGCACUUUCGACGGGGACGAUGAUGACGGUACCCGUAGAAGAAGCCCCGGCUAACUUCGUGCCAGCAGCCGCGGUAAUACGAAGGGGGCUAGCGUUGCUCGGAAUGACUGGGCGUAAAGGGCGUGUAGGCGGUUUACACAGUCAGAUGUGAAAUCCCCGGGCUUAACCUGGGAGCUGCAUUUGAUACGUGUAGACUAGAGUGUGAGAGAGGGUUGUGGAAUUCCCAGUGUAGAGGUGAAAUUCGUAGAUAUUGGGAAGAACACCGGUGGCGAAGGCGGCAACCUGGCUCAUGACUGACGCUGAGGCGCGAAAGUGUGGGGAGCAAACAGGAUUAGAUACCCUGGUAGUCCACGCUGUAAACGAUGUGUGCUAGAUGUUGGGU
rnacentral:rRNA from 1 species